rnacentral:tRNA from 1 species
GCCCCUGUAGCUCAGUAGGAUAGAGCACUAGCCUCCGAAGCUGGGAGCGAGAGUUCGAGUCUCUCCAGGGGCG